CUCCUUUUGUUCAGGUAUUAGUGUAUUACACAAAAAUUGAUUACACAUAAUGCAGAUUUGCCAUUGCCAUAACUGCAGUAUCAAUACCUUUUGUUCAUACACAAAAAUUCAUUGCAUAGAAGGCACAUUUGCCAUUGCCAUUGAUAUUGAGAUGAAACUGCACUAUCAAGAGACAGUCCAACAUCUUGGAUUACAUCAGAGUAAAAUUCUUUAGAGGCUUCUUUCACAUGUAGAGCGGCCAAUUUACUAGAAUGAGGAUCAUCAAGUAUCAUCUCUGCAAUGACCAUGGUCUCAGAUGCAGCAACAGAAAGUUCAAUUGCAUCAGGAGGAACUGGCAUCCUGCCGCUCCAUCCGAGGGGAAGACCAACGGGGGCAGCUGUAGGUACCAUGAUGGAGCAGCCCGGGAGGAGCCCUGGAGGCUGCACCUGUACCACGAUGGAGCCAUCCUGCGCGAGGGGAAGCCCGGGAGGAGCCCUGAAGGCGGCGGUGAACAGCGGCUCCUAGGGCGCGCAAAUGAGCCCUGCGGGCGGCGGCGAACUGCGGGAUGGCGAGGGAGCGCGCGUACGAGGGCCUUUGGGGCAUCCACAUAAGGUGGCGGCGAGGGCCUUCGGGCCGUCACCCCCAGCCUGCGUCGAGGGCCGGCGGGGCACCUCCCCCAGCCUGCGGCGAGGGCCGGAGUAGCCGAGCGUGGGGGAGUCACCGGCGAGGGGCAGCUGGAUGAGGCGCCCCAUCACGAGGAGGGUGACGAGGGCCUCCAUGGCGGCGCCGCCGGACACCAUCGCGGCAGCGACGAGGGCAGGAUUACGAAAGGACGGAAGGAAGGGAACAGAACCAGCGCUGGCAUCGUGGGGGGUGUUUUCCAAAACUGAGGUUAGGAUGAGAUGAGUGGGGGGUUUAAGUGCUAAAAUAACCCACCUCUACCUCUAGCCAUCGGAUUAGAAUCCUAUGGUCUUGAUUAGAGUUUCUAUAGUUAGCACAGCAGGCUGGUUUCCAUAGCAUGCGUUGUUAGGUUCGUUGCAUAGGAAACAAAAAUUUCCUACGAGAAGUGCGGAAGAAAACCCAAGAAUAUAUAUACUAGAUGUAUGUAACGAGAGGGAUCAUGAACACCAUACCCUCGUAGACCGCUAAGCGUUACGAUCACGAGAUCGUUGUUGGUGUAGUGGAACUUUCAAUGAGAUCAAUCUCAGUGCCGAACGGACAGCACCUCCUUG
rnacentral:lncRNA from 1 species